UCAUUACUGAUUUGCUUAAUUGCACCACAUGUGUUUUUUAUUGAACAAAUUUCUUUGGUGGCGGGAGCAAUCCUACCGCCAGAGGUUAUAACUAAACCAAACUUUUUAUUUACAGUCAAACUUGAUUAUUAUUACAAUAGUCAAAACUUUCAACAACGGAUCUCUUGGUUCUCGCAUCGAUGAAGAACGCAGCGAAAUGCGAUACGUAAUAUGAAUUGCAGAUAUUCGUGAAUCAUCGAAUCUUUGAACGCACAUGCGCCCUUUGGUAUUCCAAAGGGCAUGCCUGUUUGAGCGUCAUUUCUCCCUCAAACCCCCGGGUUUGGUGUUGAGCAAUACGCUAGGUUUGUUUGAAAGAAUUUAACGUGGAAACUUAUUUUAAGCACUUAGGUUUAUCCAAAAACGCUUAUUUUGCUAGUGGCCACCACAAUUUAUUUCAUAACUUUGACCUCAAAUCAGGUAGGACUACCCGCUGAACUUAAGCAUAUCA
rnacentral:rRNA from 1 species